CUUUAUGGGAGAGUCGUAUUCUGGGGUAGACGCUCUGGGCUGAGUGUGCUGAGCUCAACAGGAAAACACUCAGAAUCAGAGACACACUCUUUACACACUCCAUCCUGACACACACACACCGGACAGAGAGUAAGCCAAUCCAGUGUGAAUCACCACUGAAGUCCAAGGGAAGAGUAGGAAAUAUCCACAUGGGAGAGUCCAGGCUCUAUGACCAGAGUAUGUUAUACUGAAUCAGAUAUACAGUAUCAUCAUCAAACUAGGAGAUCCUACAGGACUAUGAUUCAGUGAUUGAGAGGGAGUGAGGAACUUAGCUCCUAAAACCAAUUGCUUCAGGCGAGAGAGAGUACUCCAGCUGUUACAGCCCGAGCUGCAUGACCACUGCUGCUCUCUGUCCGUCUGUCCGACUGACUGUCGUUCUUGUGGCAGCCUGGCAGGGAUGUUGUAUCUUCUUUCUAUCUGAACAAAUGAAGGAAAAUAAAUACUGCUGAUAGUCCUUCCAAAGUGCUGCUGUGUGUUCUGUCAUUCUGUCUAAGGCAGCAUUGUGGUAUCCUCAGCUUGUGUUCUUCCAGGAUCCAAGAGAGUCAGUGUCUUGCCACUAGCCCAGGAGAAGCCGAAGAGGCAGAGGGAGACUCUCUCUCUCUCUCUCUCUCUCUUUCUCUCUUUCUCUGUCUCUCUUGGGAUGUUUCUCUUGCGCUCUCUCUCUCUCUCUCUCUCUCUCUCUCUCUCUCUCUCUCUCUCUCUCCUCUCUGAUCAGGCAAGGAGGAUCCAAACAACCGUGUUCACUAAUGUAUACUGCUUCCACUCCUCAGAGGUGAGGAUACAUACCAGUGUGUGUGUGCCAUUCAUUAAUUCAUUAAUUUUCCUUCUCAAGGCUGACGUUUGACUCCUGCUAAUGAGAAGAAACAUCUCUCUCUCCCUCUCUCUUUCCCCACUCUCUCUCUCUUUCGCUCUCCUUCUCUCUUUCUCUCUUCCUCUCGCUCUCUCUCUCUCUCUCCUAUCACUCGUCAAUCUCUCUCUCUCUCUCUCCCUCUCUCUGUCUCUCUCUCUCUCUGUCUCUCUCUCUCUCACUCUCUCUCCUAUCUGUCCUCAAUUUCGCUCUCACUCUCUCUCUCGCAGUCUCUCUCUCUGACAGCUGAAGUGCAGCCUGACCCUGUAUCUCAGGGUCAGCCUCUCCC
rnacentral:lncRNA from 1 species